rnacentral:rRNA from 1 species
UACGUAGGGGGCAAGCGUUGUCCGGAAUCAUUGGGCGUAAAGAGCGUGUAGGCGGUCCGGUAAGUCGGCUGUGAAAGUCCAGGGCUCAACCCUGGGAUGCCGGUCGAUACUGCCGGACUAGAGUUCGGAAGAGGCGAGUGGAAUUCCCGGUGUAGCGGUGAAAUGCGCAGAUAUCGGGAGGAACACCUAUGGCGAAGGCAGCUCUCUGGGAUGGUACUGACGCUGAGACGCGAAAGCGUGGGGAGCGAACAGG